CUGCAGGCGAAAGUCAUCUGCUGUAGAAGCUCGGAUGGGGACUUUCUAUUGGAGAAGUCUGACAGAAGUACGAUUGCUAGAGAAGUCCCUCUAUAUUUUGCCUGAUGUAGAAGCUCGUCUGUGGACUGUCCACCAGAGAGGUCUGGUUUCAUGAGGAAUCCGGUAGAGGGUCGACCGACAGUGAGGUUCGGAUGGUAUUGUGGAGGUUC
rnacentral:lncRNA from 1 species